rnacentral:lncRNA from 1 species
GGCAGCAUUUUAAAUUUGAUUGUGGAGUAUUCUAACCAAAUCUUCAAGAGCCGUAACUCGAGGUGAAACCUGCCAACACUUUCUUUAGCUUGCCCAUGGUGAUGUGAAGAUGAGAAGAAAUAGCAAGGCCCAACCAGUUCUUCAUCUGGAGACAGUUCAACGUUCUGCAAACCAGAUCUUCAGGAAUUUUACUGGGAUAAUUAUCCAAAUAAAUUGCAAGCAUUCUAUCCAAAUGGAGCUCUUUCUGAGAUGAAGAGAAUUCUCAAUGUCAAGAUUUGAACAAGAAGAGAAUGGAAUACACAAUAUGGACAUCCAUAAAAAUUCAUCAGAGAGCAUUUUACUACUGAGCUGCAAAGGGAAAAACUUAAAAUGGAUAUGAAAAGUGAAGAAAGUGAUCAUAGGAGAAAACCAUUUCAGGUAAAAAUAAAAAACAAAGAGCAAAUAAGAUUUACUGUUUUUAAAGAAAAACAACAUUCUUUUGACUGUGUUUUGUUAUAAGAAUUAAUUUCAUAUUCUUUAUGAGUGUAACUGUUGAAAUUUUAUUGAUGGUUUUCAUUUGAAAAUGUGUGCUAUGACCUACCUUUGUGAAAAAUUUCUUGUGGUCAAUUGGGCAGUUUGUGUCCCAUUGAAUAUAUGUCUGUGUAUCCAUACGCUUAAGAUAGGUGCAAUACGGUUUACUAGAAAGCUUUAUAGGAAAAGAAAAAAA